CACCAAGAAAUUAAGUCAUAUAUUUAUGGUAAAAAGACAGUUAGAUAUUUAUUUUUGGGUCAAUUUAAUGCUUUGUAUAGAGGUAAAAUUUAAGUGCAGUUGAUAUAAUCUAUUUAUGACUUGUAAGUUGAAUCUGUGAAAUCCUUAAGGGAAACUGGGAUUAGGUACCCCAUUAUUUCUGGAUAUAAAGUAAAGAAUAUUUACCGGAGUACUAUGAAUAUUAAAAAUUUAAAACUCAAAGAACUUGGCGGUGUUUUAGACCACUCAGGGGAACCUGUCUCAUAAUCGAUAAUCCACGUUGUACCUGACCUUUUUUUGUAUUCAGUUUGUAUACCGUUGUCGUCAGGUAACUUUUUAGAAAUUAGAAGUUAGCAGCAGAAAUAAAAAAUAAUUUAAUACGUCAAAUCAAGGUGCAGCUAAUGAAAAGGGGAGGAUGGGUUACAAUUAUAUAAUUUAUAAUAACGGAUAGGUAUAUGGAGUAUGUAUUAAUUAUAAGGCGGACUUGAAAGUAAAUUAGGUUAUAUAAAUAACUUGAAUGAGGCUCUGAAACGUGU
rnacentral:rRNA from 1 species